rnacentral:rRNA from 1 species
UGAACUCAUUGAGAGUCGAGGCAGCGCAUGUUUCAUGCCAGUGCUUGGAUACUCAAAUUUUCUCAGCACCUGAGGUGAAGUAGGACCACCCGCUGAACUUAAGCAUAUCAUUAAGCGGAGGAAAAGAAACUAACAAGGAUUCCCUCAGUACGGGCGACGGAAGCGGGAAAAGCCCACAGUGGUAAUCUCCGUUCUUCGAACGGCGAAUUGUGACCUGAAGGCAGUCAGCCUAACCGAACGUCCUGACGCAGAAGUGUCGCCGAGGCGGCCGCCAAAGAGGGUGAGAGCCCCGUCUGCGGUGUCAGGAUGCGGAGAGGUUGGAGGUCAAAGAGUCGUGUACUUUGAUACUAGUGCACAAAGCGGGAGAUAAACUUCUUCUAAGGCUAAAUAAACGUAGGAGACCGAUAGCGAACAAGUACUGUGAAGGAAAGAUGAAAAGCACUUUGGAAAGAGCGUCAAAAGACUUGAAAUCGUUGAGGCGGACCCGGUAGAAAUGAAUUCUGGGGUCAUUCCCUGCUGGUCCUGCAUUCGGGGCAAGUUGGGGAUGGCAGCAAGACAAGAUGGAGUCGUUCGAUGUCAGAGGCGGUGCGUGAGGGGCUUCGGCUCAGUGCGUGUUGGCUGGGUGUUGAGCGGCUUGAGGGGCCUUGUGCGAUCUUGUCAAAAUGGUUUUUACCGACUCGUCUUGAAACACGAACCAAGGAGUCUAAGACUAACGCGAGUGUGGUGGUGGAGAAACCAACACGCGAAAUGAAAGUGAAUGAUGCCAAAUUUAUGCAGCAUCGACCGACUUACAUCUACAGGUGAAGGUUUGAGUAAGAGCGUUAUUCUUAGGACCCGAAAGAUGGUGAACUAUGCCUGUGUAGGGUGAAGUCAGGGAAAACUCUGAUGGAAGCUCGUAGCGAUACUGACGUGCAAAUCGUUCGUCUAACAUGGGUAUAGGGGCGAAAGACUAAUCGAACCAUCUAGUAGCUGGUUCCCUCCGAAGUUUCCCUCAGGAUAGCUGGGACAAUUACACAGUUUUAUUAGGUAAAGCGAAUGAUUAGAGGCAUCUGGGAUAAUAUGUCCUAGACCUAUUCUCAAACUUUAAAUUGGUAAGAACUCCUGUCUUUACUUAAAUGAAGCAGGAGGUUCAAUGUGUGUCCUUAGUGGGCCAUUUUUGGUAAGCAGAACUGGCGAUGAGGGUUGCUCCUAACGUCGGGUUAAGGUGCCAAACUACACGCUCAUCAGAAACUACAAAGGGUGUUAGUUCAUUAAGACAGCAGGACGGUGGCCAUGGAAGUCGGAACCCGCUAAGGAGUGUGUAACAACUCACCUGCCGAAUG